GGGGAACUCAGGGAACUGAAACAUCUAAGUACCUGAAGGAAGAGAAAGAAAUUCGAUUCCGUAAGUAGCGGCGAGCGAACGCGGAUUAGCCCAAACCAAUAAAGUUUUCUUUGUUGGGGUUGCGGACAUAUCAUAACGAAGAGGUAUCGUAAUUGAAGAGGUUUGGAAAGACCCACCACAGAAGGUAAUAGUCCUGUAUGUUAAACGAGAAGACUUUA
rnacentral:rRNA from 1 species